rnacentral:rRNA from 1 species
GACAGAGGGUGCAAACGUUGUUCGGAAUUACUGGGCGUAAAGCGAGUGUAGGUGGUUCUCAAAGUCAGAUGUGAAAGCCCCGGGCUCAACCUGGGAAUUGCAUUUGAGACUGCAUUGCUUGGGUGCGGAAGAGGGAAGCGGAAUUUCCGGUGUAGCGGUGAAAUGCGUAGAUAUCGGAAGGAACACCAGUGGCGAAAGCGGCUUCCU